GGUUGUGGCUCAGUGGUACAGCGCUCGCCUAGCAUGUGAGAGUCCCUGGGUUCAAUCCUCACAUCA
rnacentral:tRNA from 1 species